rnacentral:misc_RNA from 1 species
GUGAAUCAUCGAAUCUUUGAACGCACAUUGCGCCCGCCGGCACUCCGGCGGGCAUGCCUGUCCGAGCGUCAUUUCCACCCCUCAGGCCCUGCCUGGUGUUGGGGCUCCGCGGCCCUGCGGUCCCCUAAAAGCAGUGGCGGGCUCGCCGUGGUCCCGAGCGCAGUAGAACAUCUCGCUUAGGGCUCCCAGCGGGUUUGGCCAUUAAGUCUCAGAGGCGCCAGGCGUCCUGAACCCCCCCGACGUUGACCUCGGAUCAGGUAGGAAUACCCGCUGAACUUAAGCAUAUCAAUAAGCGGAGGA